rnacentral:rRNA from 1 species
UACGAAGGGAGCUAGCGUUGUUCGGAAUCACUGGGCGUAAAGCGCACGUAGGCGGAUGUGUCAGUCAGGGGUGAAAUCCCGGAGCUCAACUUCGGAACUGCCUUUGAUACAGCACAUCUGGAGUCCGGAAGAGGUGGGUGGAAUUCCUAGUGUAGAGGUGAAAUUCGUAGAUAUUAGGAAGAACACCGGUGGGGAAGGCGGCCCACUGGUCCGGUACUGACGCUGAGGUGCGAAAGCGUGGGGAGCAAACAGG